UGAUGAUUAUGAUAUGAAAUAAGUAAUCUUUUUAUCUCCCCCAAUACCUGGCAUGUUACUAUGAAUACAGGAGGUACCUACUAAGUUAUUAAUUGAGUUGACUUACACAUAGGAAUGAAUGAGUGAAUUAAUGAGCAUGAUUUGUCAUGUCUAACAUAUCUCUUGUGAACCGGCAAUCUUCCAUAACCCAUAUGGGAUGAUUCGAUUAAGGUUUCGUCAAGGAAAUCAGGAAACUACCAUAAUGAUGAGAAUUAGCCUGAGCAGAGGAGGAUGCAUGAAACAAGAGGACUGGGAAGUUAGCCUUAAAGGCAAAUGGGCAUGGCGAGGUCUCCUCUUUGGGCAGGGCGAUUGUGAAUUUUCAGGACCAUGGUCUUGGGGACAAGGCAGGAUUACGGAUGGCAUCAAUUCACGUGAAGCAAUACAGAACAAUGGAAAGAGCCACAGGAUUUAGAAUCACAAGACUUGGGUUCAAUUCAAGAUUGAUAUGCAUUGGCUUUAUGAACUUGGGUAAGUCCAUUGAUUUUAUUGGACGCCAGUUUCCUCAUCUAUAAAAUGGGCAGAAUUGAACUAAAU
rnacentral:lncRNA from 1 species